rnacentral:lncRNA from 1 species
GGGAAGCGGGCGAGGCGCCCGAGGAGAGGGCCCGGGGAAGGAGGAAGCACAAGGGAUAUGGGGCGAUGGCCGAGAAGAGUGGCGCGAGCUACCGGGACAAUCUCCACAGCAUCAAUUUUGCAUGUCUGAAGAUGAUUGAAAAGUCUUUUUAUGGACCCGUAAGAAGCUUUAAUUAGAUAUACAGCACUCUACAAAACGACAAGAUGGAGCAUGCAGGUUUGUAUUACAGUUUCUGUGAUUCAAAUCUCAAAUAUAACAUAAUGCCACCAAUUUAAGGAAGAAGUUGUUUAUCAGAAGGCAACCAGGGCAAUGCUACAAAUUAGAUCAAGAUGUGAAAAGCAAGCAGAUUCUUGAAAGAAUUGCAAUUUUCAUCUUGGGACACCCCCCC